rnacentral:lncRNA from 10 species
UCAAAUCAGCCAGGUGGGUUUGCCUGUAGGUGCUCAGAACCAUUCGGGUUCCACUGACAUCAGGGGCUUGGCUCUAGCCUCUCCCAAUUUUUGAAGAACUAGACUCCCACAUUUGCUCCCUCUAGCCACCAACAACUCUUCUCUACUUCCCUUCAGAUUAAUUGGGGUUGGGGAAGAAAAUGUUCAUUGCCCAUGAAAAUUAUCUUGGAGAAGUUGGCUUCAGUAGCCUCUUUAUAGGCUUGGGGGCUGCUUGGACAAGGAGGUUCUGUGUGUGUAGAGGGGCCCAUGAAUAUUACCAUUUGUUAUUUUUAGUUUUUCCAGGAAAUUUGUAAUCAUGUAUCAUUUUUUAUUCUCUCCCCUCUUCCUCCUUCUCCUCACCCCAUUCACUUGUGUCCCUCUUUUAUUUCUCUUACUUCCUAAUUCUUAUAUCAUGCUUGCAUGUCUUACAUUCAUCCUUCAAGACAUGAUUUGAAUGUCACCUCUUCUAGGAAGCCUCCCAUGAUGUCUCCAGGCAAUUUAGCAAUUCCUCUGCUGCCCCUUGUGUAUAUCUUUAUAACAGCUCUUAGAAAGUGAAUGUCAUUAUUUACUCAAACAUCUCCACUUCUUCACUGGAUGGCAGCUCAGGUUCAGAGGUUCCCUAACACCGAGAAAGGCACCGGUCCCGAAGAGGGCCUGCGGCCAUUGUGUCCCAAGCGCAGGUGUCAAACGCCGGCCGCGGCGCCCGCAGGGUCCGUCCCGCACGCUCCUUCUCAAACAAUGACUUUGCUGCCCACGAGCAGAGAAGCCUGGACUCCAGCGCAGUCCGCAGCGCGUUCGUUAAGGAGCCCAACUUCGGCUUCUUAGAAUGCAGCCCACUUUCUAGACGCCCCCGGCGCACCUGCCUCGAGGCCGCGAGAAAGGCCAGCUCCGGCCGGGAGCCGGGGACCGGGAAGCGCGCAGUCCCGACCUUCCUCCCCUGCCUUUCUCUUCCAGGAGGUUUACUAGAACUCCGGGAACUCCAAAACGCGACUUUUCUUUCUCUUUGCUUUUCGUCUUAAGGGAACACGGUGGGCAAAAGAAGGGAGUGCGUGUGCCCGAGGCUUGGGAGCCCCCUGUGCAGUGACCUAGGAACCGCUAGCGAUUUCUUGAAAAAUUACUUUAAUCAAGUCCGGCGCUCCCGGGAGCGGGGGAGGAAAGGCAGCACCCGCUCGGGACGGGAGAAAAAAGCCUCCAGGUCUGUCCCGCGUCUCCAACUCGGCGAGGGUCUCCGGCUCCCCAGUCCCUCUCCCUGCCCUGCUGGGGCCUGGGGCUUUGGGGAGGGAAGAGCGGGGCUGGGGUCUAAGGACCCUGGGCCGGGCCUGGCUCUCCGCCGGCCGGGCC